AGAAGUUGGUGAUCCCAAGCUGAAGUAGCAACAGGAGCACUUUGGAGAAAGUUCUACAAUGAACUAUGUUACAAAAUAAUAAUUUGAAAUAACUUUAUUGAGGGUAUCUAUAUGUAUACCCUCAAUAAAGUUAUUUCAAAUUAUUAUUUUGUAACAUAGUUCAUUGUAGAACUUUCUCCAAAGUGCUCCUGUUGCUACUUCAGCUUGGGAUCACCAACUUCU